rnacentral:misc_RNA from 1 species
GGAAUUCUGAAAAGAUGAAUGAUUUUUGACAUUGAUCUAAUGCAUUUAAUGUUGCUCAAGUUAUUAUAUUACUUCAUUAUCUCAAGUUAUACUUUCUUUUGAAGGAUUGUCGGAAGUUGUACUUUACUUUUGAAGGAUGUGGUGUUAAUCAACUAUUGUUUUGUAUGCUUCCUUUACGCUAGCAACAACAAAAUAAUGUCAUUCAGAUGUUUUUGUGUGCUUUCCCAGCAAGCUUUGGCUUUAAAGGAGAAUCUGUGAGCUCUAAUUCGGACCUUUCUUUUGUUGGAAAUUGUUAGUAAUACAACUCAUGGGAUGCCAAAUGGUUAUCGAAAGGUUUUGAAGGAAAAGUUCUUUUGAGAUUUAGUUGGGUAAUAUCCAUUAGGAUAGGGUAUAACACUACUAACCUGGUCGUUGUUUUUGACAUUGUUUACAGGAUGACAUGUUUUGUACCUUGAAAUCGCUAAAUCAAAUAUAUUAGUUAUGUUUCUCUCUUCAGGCCAAGUGUGAAAAUGAAACUUGUUGACAUCUGAAAUAGGAAAUACUAGGCUCAAGGGGAGCACACAAGUACACACCGAUGGGGAGUCAAGAAAACGUUCUGAUUAACGUAAUUGGAAGUUCCUACAAUUGAUCAGACUAAAAAGAUAAACUUCAUUCUGUCAAGUUGAAGUAAUCACAAAAUUGUAUGUAUAAAGAUAAAAUGGACAAACAAGUUG